rnacentral:rRNA from 1 species
CCUACGGGCGGCAGCAGUGGGGAAUAUUGCACAAUGGGCGCAAGCCUGAUGCAGCCAUGCCGCGUGUGUGAAGAAGGCCUUCGGGUUGUAAAGCACUUUCAGCGGGGAGGAAGGCGUUAAGGUUAAUAACCUUGUCGAUUGACGUUACCCGCAGAAGAAGCACCGGCUAACUCCGUGCCAGCAGCCGCGGUAAUACGGAGGGUGCAAGCGUUAAUCGGAAUUACUGGGCGUAAAGCGCACGCAGGCGGUCUGUCAAGUCGGAUGUGAAAUCCCCGGGCUCAACCUGGGAACUGCAUUCGAAACUGGCAGGCUAGAGUCAUGUAGAGGGGGGUAGAAUUCCAGGUGUAGCGGUGAAAUGCGUAGAGAUCUGGAGGAAUACCGGUGGCGAAGGCGGCCCCCUGGACAAAGACUGACGCUCAGGUGCGAAAGCGUGGGGAGCAAACAGGAUUAGAUACCCCUGUAGUC